UUUUGUUAUUAUCAAAACAAGAUAAGGAAUUGUUCUUCAAAUCAUAUUUAUUCUAACACAGUCAAGUUGUUGAAGAAUGAAAAUACUAUUGAGCUAGGUUUCAAAAAAAAUAAGUUUAAGGGUUUUCUAAAUAACUCUUACAAAAAUGUGUUUUUAAUGUUGUAUUUUCAUAAACCAUUUCUCAACAGUUAGACAAAAUAAAAUAU
rnacentral:lncRNA from 1 species